GAUCAGAAGAGUCAAAGAAGAUCCACUGGUUGACCAGGAUUAAGACAUGUUAUCAGAGAUCAUGCACAGUGGCAUUUAAUGAUCACAUAUCAAGGUAGAGAACAGCCUGGUUGGAAAGGAUACCUACAAAUAUGCAGAAAAAAGGAAGCUGUCAUAGAGUCCAGAUGAGGUCACUGAAUCUCAGACCACAUUGCCAGUAAGUGGGAAAGCAGAGAUUCAAUCUCUCUCUUCCAAGAUGAGGAACGGGGGGAUCUCCACUACCCAGCAGCUGUCUACUAUGUGCAAAGGCCAGUUCUGGGUGUUGCAAAGGAUCUCACGAUGAGUACUGGAUUCUCAUAGAUCCACUUGCAGAGGUAAGGAAAGAGAUCUUGGGAAGGAAAUGGAACGGGUUCAGCAGGGUGUGGGUAGGUGGAGAAGAAAGUUAGGAACAUUCCUGGUUAAGAGGACCUGCCCUUGUGAAGGUAUCUUGCGCAAGAUCACUGUGUCUUAAGCUUAUCUCUUCUCAAGUACAGGGCAUCCUUUGAGAUGUGAUAAAGUUCCGUGGUUAGGAACUAGGGCUGUGAAGUCCCACAGGCCUGGGUUUAAAUCUUGGUUUCACCAAGUGGUAACUUCAUGGUCAGAGCAAGUUUCUUCAUCUCUUUUUGCUUCAUUUU